GUGCUUGUUUCAGCAGCACAUAUACUAAAAUUGGAAUGAUGUAGAGAAGAUUAGCAUGGCCCCUGAGCAAGGAUGACAUGCAAAUUUGUGAAGUGUUACACAUUUUU
ensembl:snRNA U6 U6 spliceosomal RNA